rnacentral:rRNA from 1 species
ACGUAGGGUGCGAGCGUUAAUCGGAAUUACUGGGCGUAAAGCGUGCGCAGGCGGUUUUGUAAGUCAGAUGUGAAAUCCCCGGGCUCAACCUGGGAACUGCGUUUGAAACUACAAGGCUAGAGUGUAGAAGAGGGGGGUAGAAUUCCACGUGUAGCAGUGAAAUGCGUAGAGAUGUGGAGGAAUACCGAUGGCGAAGGCAGCCCCCUGGGCUAACACUGACGCUCAUGCACGAAAGCGUGGGGAGCAAACAGGA